ACUCCUACGGAAGGCAGCAGUAGGGAAUAUUGGACAAUGGGGUGCGAGCCUGAUCCAGCCAUGCCGCGUGCAGGAAGACGGCCUUCUGGGUUGUAAACUGCUUUUGCCAGGGGAUAAAAAGUACCCUGCGGGGGAAAAUUAGAAGGUACCUGGUGAAUAAGCCACGGCUAACUACGUGCCAGCAGCCGCGGUAAU
rnacentral:rRNA from 1 species